ACACAUGCAAGUCGAACGAGCGAGAGAGAGCUUGCUUUCUCGAGCGAGUGGCGAACGGGUGAGUAACGCGUGAGGAACCUGCCUCAAAGAGGGGGACAACAGUUGGAAACGACUGCUAAUACCGCAUAAGCCCACGACCCGGCAUCGGGAAGAGGGAAAAGGAGCAAUCCGCUUUGAGAUGGCCUCGCGUCCGAUUAGCUAGUUGGUGAGGUAACGGCCCACCAAGGCGACGAUCGGUAGCCGGACUGAGAGGUUGAACGGCCACAUUGGGACUGAGACACGGCCCAGACUCCUACGGGAGGCAGCAGUGGGGAAUAUUGCACAAUGGGGGAAACCCUGAUGCAGCGACGCCGCGUGGAGGAAGAAGGUCUUCGGAUUGUAAACUCCUGUUGUUGAGGAAGAUAAUGACGGUACUCAACAAGGAAGUGACGGCUAACUACGUGCCAGCAGCCGCGGUAAAACGUAGGUCACAAGCGUUGUCCGGAAUUACUGGGUGUAAAGGGAGCGCAGGCGGGAAGACAAGUUGGAAGUGAAAUCCAUGGGCUCAACCCAUGAACUGCUUUCAAAACUGUUUUUCUUGAGUAGUGCAGAGGUAGGCGGAAUUCCCGGUGUAGCGGUGGAAUGCGUAGAUAUCGGGAGGAACACCAGUGGCGAAGGCGGCCUACUGGGCACCAACUGACGCUGAGGCUCGAAAGUGUGGGUAGCAAACAGGAUUAGAUACCCUGGUAGUCCACACCAUAAACGAUGAUUACUAGGUGUUGGAGGAUUGACCCCUUCAGUGCCGCAGUUAACACAAUAAGUAAUCCACCUGGGGAGUACGACCGCAAGGUUGAAACUCAAAGGAAUUGACGGGGG
rnacentral:rRNA from 1 species